UUUGUUGGGCAUGUAUUCAUAUAUCAACAUCUUUUCUUCUAGUUCAAUGCAAUAUCCUAGAAGCUUCACCAGGUUUCGAUGCUGAAGCUUGGCAAUGCAUUUGACUUCAUUCUUGAAUUCAUCAAGCCCUUGGCUAGAGUUCUUGGAGAGCCUCUUAACAGCAAUUUCUACUCCUCCUUCAAGCAGGCCCUGCAUAUAUAGAGAAGUGCCUGAUAAUGGUAAGAUGGCAUAUUUUGAUGCAAAUGCCAAUGAUAUAUGUUUUUUAAGCAUCACUUGGUUGACGUUGAAUAUUGCAGGUGUGAAAUUUCCUUAUAAGCAAUAUGGUCUUUUUUAUUUGUUUACUUGAGGGAGGAACGGGGUUAUUUUUUAGUUCUUUCCUUUUACCCACUCUUUCUGAUGCUAUUGACUAUUAAAGAGAUUUUUUUGGUUGAUCCACACAAUUCUGACCAAUAUGACCCCUAACCUGCCUCAGCAAACUUCAAACAAAAAGUCCCUAUCAUCUCUUGACUUCAUGUAUUAUUAGUUCUUUUCUGCAAAAAAAAAAUGCUGAUUGAAAUUCUUAACCUUAAGAAAUUAUUACUGGCUGUUUUAUCACAAUUUAUGCCACUAUGUUAACUCGAGGCACCAAGGAUAUGUUAUAAACUGCUUACAGAGAAGCUGCAUGAUAUGUUUCUAUUACCUUGUAUACAGGUCCAAAGCCGCCCUGUCCAAGCAGAUUGCUGAAUGAGAAGUUAUUGGUAGCAUUAGCUAUUGUGGAAAAGUCAAAAUGAGGUAGCUCUAGAUCUUCCUUCUGGUUUUUCAUAGAGUAGCUGCCUUCUAGAUUGUUUUCCUGCUUGCCUGUGAAUUGUGGUGAAUAGAAGCAGUAAGUAGCAAUGAAGUCCUAUAAAUGACUUAAUUCGAUCAAUAACCUUCUAGGUUUGUUUUCUUUUUGUUGAAGAAAUAGCCUCCUAUCUGAGUCCUAGAACCUAGUGAAAACACAUAACAAGAAGACACUUUCAUAAUUGUCCAAGCAUCCAGCCCAACCCUUGUCAGGUAAAUUGUUGGAAGAUGAAGAAGUCCCACACCUGGUGGGAAAGAAAAGAAAAGAGGGCCAUAUAAGAUGAGGCUCAGCAAAGUCAAAAUGGCUUAAACCAUUUUGCCAAAAGUUGAAGCUCAACAACCUGCUGAUGGAAGAAAUUCAGACUAAUUCCACACUCCUAGAGCCCAGUCCGUUAACAACUAACAUGGUAUUAGAGUCAUCAAGCCAAUGGCCACAAAGAUCCUGGGACCCAGAAUCAAUUAGCCAGUGUGGGAGCUGUGAAAAUGGAUUAGUCCAUGUGGAACCCAUCCAUUAGGCAAGUGAUAACUGGGCCUCAACAGGUCCCAACCCAGUUGCACAUGAUGGCAGAAAUUUACCAGAUGCCAUGAUCUGCAGAAUUACCUAGUUGCAUAUGAUAAGCAGCCCAAUGUUUAAUGUUUUCCACAGCAAUGAGAUUACUUCAUCUCUAGUGUAUGAAAAAAAAAAGUUCCUCGUAUACUUGAUCUAAUCAAGUGUAGCCAUCAUAAGAAGAGUAUUAUCCUCCUGUGGUUUGAUGUUGCCCCAUAAUGUGGUGCAGAAAAAGGCUAUUUAAGAAGGUAGAUGAAUGAUCCCUCCCAUAAAAUAGCUUAUGAAAAGGGAGCAUUCUUUCUGAAAGACUGAAAAUGGAUUAUUUAGCAUCCUACAUAUAACACAUAUUAUGCAGUGUCUUUUUUUUUUGGCACGCUACUUCUGUAAACAAACUAUAGAAGUGAAUUAUGGGCAAUGCAACUUACCUGGUGGACCUUGUGUUUUUUGCUUCUUCUUCUUCAUCUUCCAUGCGACAAAGCUUACACCCAUGCCAAGGAGUACCAUUCCUGUUAAUGAUACCGUGCUUGCUAUUAUUAUCACUUGUCUCUUGUGAUUAGAUCCCCCUUGAUCUUGAGCAACCAAAAGCAGAAAAUUCAUUGAUCAGUAGCAUUUCAUCUCAUUGCUUACAUUUUAGUGGUUACUCCACGCAACAAACUAAAUUGUUUUUAGCUUAAAAUUUAAAAAUUUUGUGUAGUGUUAGUUGUGUAGUUGUUGACUAGGAAAGCUUUUCUCUUCCUAUAAAAGGAAGGCUGUUGUAACAAGGAAAAUAGAAAAAUUGACUGUGCUGGAGAGUUGCAUGAAAAGAGAAUGAAGAAAAUGAAGGAGAAAAAGAAUAAGAAAAUUGAAUGUUUGUCUAUGUUUUUUCUAUUUGUAUAUCUCUGCUUUUGAGAAUUGAAUUGCCUCGUCAUGUGUUGUUGAGAAAAUUUUUUUGUUGAAAACCAUUUCCAGCUCUCUCAUCCUCUGUUUUGUCAACAAAACAUUUUAUUUUUUGCAUACUUCUAGAAAAAUGCCAUCAUCUAAUGUGUGGCAUAUCUACAUUAAAAAAAAUGGAGUAAUUCAUUUCACUUGAAAAGUCCAUCAUUUAGCACGUGAUGGGCAAAGCAACUUAAAGCAAUGCAAUGGAGCCUAAUCUGUUCCUAUAUUUUGUACAACGUUUUAUGUUUGAGAAAUCACACUGGUGAAGUGUCAUUUCCCACCUCUCAUGUGGAUUAUUGGAUCAUCUGAUUUGAAAGACUUCCUGUACCAUUACACAUGAUGUUCUGUCAAGAUACAGAAAGGAAAUAAAAGAGUAACUGAGAUUCUCUUAAGAAAUUCAAACAUGUAAUGCUGGAUUAAAUUUUACCAGUAUAAUGCAGUCACGAUAGUAAAAACUUGUUAGGGUAUGAUUCAAAAUCCUUAUGGGAUUUGGAGAAUAUGUUUUCUAGUUUGAGUGAGAGAAAUAUUUCAAUGGAUUAUUCUUUUCUAUGUAGUUUAGGACUCUUAUUUAAAUAUUAUUCCAAUUUAGAUAUUAAAUGAAGUAACAUUAUAAAUAGAAGCAUUGUAGGAGAUAUCAUUUGGCUUUUGCCCAUAUGUGAAUAAAGGGCAUACAGUCCAAAUGGAACGGACUCUAGUCCAUUAUUGCCCAUGGAGGAAGAUGGUGAUUGUUCUUGAUGUGAAGUUGUAAUAGUAGAUAGUUUACUUAUGUAUGAAGGAGAAUGAGAGGGAUAACUAUUCAAUUUAAUAUGAUGCUAUGUAGUGAGUGUGAUGUCAAUUUGUAAAUGUAAGUUAUAGUUUGAUCGAGAGAAAUCUCGAGUGUAGCUGGGUUUGUGGGCUCAGAGAUAGCUUUGAGUGUGAAUUAUUUAUAGUAGACAAUGACAUGUCUAAGGAUACAGCCCUAUAUUGAG
rnacentral:misc_RNA from 1 species